AGAGGGGCCACCUGAAAAACAUUUCAGCAAAGAACUGUAACAUCAAGACACUGUCACCAGUGCCUUUUCCACUAAUCACUACUAAUAUGAGGGAAGCAGAGAGACCCAAGCCAAUGAAAAGCUGUAGGAAGCUGCAGAACACAUGAAAAUCCCAGCUGGUGAAUAAAAUCUAUCACGUUGGCAAAACAGUGGCACUUUGCUAAGCAGCGUGGGAGAUAUUAAGUGAACAAGUUGCAUUCUCUACCUUUGAAGAACUUUCCACUUAUUGGGGAGGUUCUAUAAAGGAGGCAAAGGUUUUGAAGACUAUCAAAGACAUCACAAUGGUAUAUUCCUAAGGGAUUUAGAGGCUCUUCAUCAACCAAAGGAAAAGCACCAGUGAGAGUCAGGAUGUGAUUCCAGGCAGGUGCCACUACUUAUUUAAAAUGUGUCAAGGAGAGAAAGUUACCUGAUUGGUGUGUUUGGAGAGGAACUGGACAUUCCCAACUUAGCACCUCUCUCCUCUCUGCAGAGAGCUUGUGCCCUGGUCUGCUGUUGGCUACAAGAUGAAUUUAGAAGAAUAAAUCUGUAUCCUUCCACCUGGACUUUAAUGCCUGAAUGCUCAUUAAAAUAGAAAAUAAUCUUUACUCCUGAAAAGGAAUGAAAUGGUGUUUUUAAAAGAAGAAGAAAGAAAAUACAAUCCUAAGAAAGAAAAAUCCAGAGACUUUCCUCGUUCAAAAUGGCCAGAGACAACGCUGGAACAGCGAGAUGCAAAAAUCCUGAGCCUUCAAAGCCAGCUCCUGAAGAAGAGAGAGGGCCUGGCAGCUGAGCUGGAUGCUUCAGGAGCAGAGGAUCUAUCAACUGCAGACCAAGCAUAGGGAGACGCAGGCAGACCUGGAACAGAAACCCGGCCAGCUCCAGCCGCUCCAACAGUUCUUGGUAGCCAGACAGUCGGCAGCAGGAAGCAUGCCACGGGCCACGAGGCAGGAAAUGACCCAAUCCUCGAG